GACCUGUGUCGGCAUGGUUUGGAACGUGUGUGGCAAGUGAGUUAGCUGUUGUCUUGAGCGUGGCUGGCAUUGCGGUGCUAUGCAGAGCUGUGCACGAAACGCCUCCAAUCUGGAUCUGCAGCCCGUGCUCGAUUACACGCCAGCUAUGUUCAUACACAACCAACACGCCGAUGCACGCGCACGCUACUUACACGACCGCGCGGCGCACGUCCAUGUAGUUGGGGCGAGCGGCGGUGAGCGCGGUGCGCAGGCGGGUGAUGCGGUCAGCGGGCACACCGCGCGCGACCAGGAAGGGCUCCAGGUAGGUCCAGUGCACGGAGAUGUAGGCCUGCAGGCGUAUACAAGGGCGCAACGGCACGUAAGGAUGGCCCCAAGCACGAUAGCUGUCCUAACUGUCUGCGCCUACAGUAGUCACCCACUGUCCCUAGAUUGAACCCUUCCUCAUCAGAUUUCUGUCCACUCCUGUCCGUGCAUGAACACAUGCCCAGGCGCACCUUGGCCUCCUCAAGGUCGGCGUCGGGGCGGCGGCACGCGACGGCGGCCUGGGCCUUGUAGGAGGAGUGCAGCACGCCCUGCAGGCCCAGCAGCACCAGCUCGCGCAUCAGGUCAACGCGGGAGGCGUUGUAGACGGCGGAGCUCAGGGUGCCUGUGUUACAGAGCACAAGGAAAACAAAGCGCACACACAGUGUAUGCGAUCAGGGUGCCUGUGUGUGUGUGUGUGUGUGUGUGUGUGUGUGUGUGUGUGUGUGUGUGCGUGUGACGUGCUUGAAAAAACGCAACACGCACGAGCGAACAUGACGUUGUAGAGCCUGGGUGCGUAUGUGCCGACGUGUCUUGUCACGGAAUGCCAAACGAGGGCGGGCGCCGAGCCGGGCGGGCUGCAGGCACGCCGGCAUAAGCAUGGGGUCCUACCCGUGUGCCGCCUUCCGACUGGCGAGCCGAGCCCACAGACAAGCCUGUGACCCAAACAAUGCAACCUAUUUAUCUGAGACCCAGCGGCGCUCACCGUUGUCCUUGCGGCCGCUCAUGAGCAGCUCAUUAAAGGUGAUGGUGGCAGCCGCGUUCACGUAGCUCUGGCCCAGAAAGGUGGUGCCCAUGUCCGCGCCCAGAGCAGCGGCCCAGGCGGCAGCGGAGCCGCAGUGGUCGUCGCGGCCGCCAGUCCACAGCGCCCAGGCCUCAUCCACGCUGUGCGAAGCACCUGUCACGUAUGCCAGGUACGACGUGGGUAGCGAGCAUGCGAGAGCGCGUUGAAGCUCUGAACCCCAACGGCCUUCCCCCACUUGUGGCGAAGCUUUGCGCCCGGUGCUAGACUGCGCACGGUACUUCCCACGUCCCCACUACCUAGGUUUUGCAGCAGUCCGCAGCACGGCAGCGAUAUUUCGCCAAUCGCACCAUGCAAUGCAUUACAUGCACUCACCAUCGGCGUCGCCCACCAGGUUGGUCAGGGUGUUGUCCGCCAGGUACUGCACAAUCUUGGUGGCGCCCUCAUCCACCUCGUGCAGGCCGUACUUGACGCCGGCAACCUACACAGGACAAGAGGACAAGGUGGGGACAAGGUUUGGGCGUGGCGACGGCACGCAUGCUGAGGUGUGCUACUGAGCGUGCAUGACUUUUGGCGUGCUACCCACGGUAUGCUCUUGCGUGGCAUUUAUGCUCAACCCGCUGCGCCAUCGAUGCUUCCCUGCACUGGGCCCAACCUGCCCACAGUUUGAACACCAUAGGCAACGCACCAGAAUGAGGCCCUCGACCAGGGGGCGGUUCUGCUCCGCAAAGGCGGUCCUGCGCAAUGCCGGCCCCAGAAUCUCAGCUAGCGUGGAGCACCAGUGCACCACUGUGCGCACGGGCACCAAUCAGUGAGCUGUUGGCCCAUAGAGCAGCAGCCGCAACCGUCGGCCAGCCAGGUUCUACCCCAGCAACGAAAAUUUCACACCCAGUCCGCACAGCCAGUCCAUCCCCAGGGCGUCAUCCCUAAUGUCAUACUUUCAUGCUGCAACUAUCUAACCCAACAACGACACACCUGUGUCGUCCCUACUUCUUACCUGAUGGCGACAUCCAGCCAGGUGCGGUUGCGGCCCAUGGCGAGGGAGUCGUGCAGCAGCUCGGGGCCCGAGGUCGCGUAGCUGGCGAAGCCCUGCACAGCGGGAGACCGUGUUACAAGGAAGAGCUUAAGCCGUCAGCACAUCAGAACCGGAUUAGCCCACAUGCCCCGACAAAGCCCGUAGGUCAGCCUAGGCCUCUGGAACUCCAAAUGCAACCCUAAAACCCUCUGGCGCUGCAGAAGGGGGCGUUGUCAACAUCAGGAGCUACCGUGAUGCGGCUGCACUUCCUUUGCGCCCCCCCCCCCCGUUACGAAAGUUGGCUCACCGAGAAGCUGCGGCGGGACAGGCCCGAGAUGGAGUUCUUGCCGCUCGAGUAGAGUGUCAGGGCCUCAGCCCAGUUGCCGGCGGCCAGGGCGGCCUGGGGUAGCAGACGACAGGGGCAGGUAAGGUUGGGGGAGGGGCAGCGCGAGCAGACGAAAGGAUUGCUUCCUCGAGAGUUGGCCCGCUGGCGCUCCGUGUAUCCUGCGACAGCCCUGACAGCAAGCGCAUCCCAGCCCACCUUAAUCUCGCAGUAGUCAGUGGUCAUGUUGACAUAACCCUGCAAAGCACCACCAACACGCGCAGAGGAAGGCACGCGUGGUUUGAGUCGGGCAUGCGCAACAUGGCUGCUGGGCUCGGGUAAACGUGCCGGCACGGCGGCUCAAGCUCACAUAGACGUUUGAAGAGUACGAGAGGCCCUUGUAACGCGUGCCAAGGGUGGAAGGCUGGGCCAGCGCGCAGACGCCCAGGAGGGCGACCGCCGCGAGGACAAUUGCGAUGCUGGGGGAGCGAGACAUGUUUACGCUUGGGGGCGCAGCGCUAACGACUAUAUUCUGUGAUAAAUUUGUGGCGGAACAGCCCGAUUAUAUACUCGCAAUGGUCAGUGCGCCAUGGGCCCCGCCGCGUGCCGCAUGCAUGGGGUCGCCGUUUGGCACGCGCAAAUUUCCUCAUACCCGCUCGCCUCGUCUGACGCGUGCGACCAGGGCACUCGUGGCGCCAUGAAAAGCGAGCAAAUAUAGUAAAUUCUUCCAACCGGCGUGACCAGGGGAAACUGGCGCGUGUGUGGGAGGAGUGAAGUCAGACCGGCGCGAAAUUCCAAUUUGUUUCUGGCUCAAUUUCAGACCCUGUCGCGUUGAACCAUGCGCUGACGUAUGUCCAACAAGUGUGCUGCACACGCGAGACCUAUGAUCGGGAUGCCGGGUUACCUUGAAUGUGUGUCGAUGCGCGUGCCGAAGUGAAGCGGCGGCCUAGUGGCCCGCCCAGGCGCAGUCGGUUUGGGGCUACAUGGCUUCCAGGAGAAGUUGGAUAGGUUACAAAACCAUUACGGCAAAGGAACAGGGGAUACGUAGCAGAGCCCCCGUCGUGGAGCCCUUCCCGUUCCCGCCGGCUCCCCGUUCCCGCCGUGCCUUGCUGGCCCUAGCUGGCCUGGUCCCUCACAUAGCCUGAGCCCCAACUGAGCCCCCAAGCCCCUUCUUACGGGUAGUUGCAGGAUAUGCUUGCAGCCUUAGGACGUUCUUACAUUGAGCCGCCACAGUCACAAUUCACAAACCUAUGGCACUAGUCCUCCAAACGAGGAAACGAAACCUUCAGGCCGCAUGCCCCAAAACCUGCCGCUCCCCCCCUCCGGAUUGACGACCGACCCCCCACACCAUUAACACCCUAAAAGUGCCUCAAAACCCCCUUGAUUCAUAGCCAGGUUGUUGUCAAUCGACUGCUCUCGGCGAGCACUACAGGUGCGAGCACUCCAGUGCAGCUGGAGGCACAUCUUGACCAAGAUCCUGCUGACUGGCAGCCACGUGCCCACGUCCCACGUCCCACGUGUCCGUGUGUCCAUGGCCGGCCCUACCGGUAUUGUAGGACUACCGGGGCGUGACGCGGUCGCCAGCUUCCAAGGCCGGCAGCAGCCUUGUCAUCCAGACCCACGCCAAGCCUUGGCCGUUGCGGAUUAUUAGCGUGAGUUCACAUAGCCUCUGCGACGUCAGUGAGAGACGCUCGACACGUGUACAUGCAUGUGUAUGUUUAUUAAUUUCCCAGUGGGGUGGGGCACCUCGUGCGGGCACCUCGGGCCUUCGCUCACGUUUCCCCACUUCCGCACGGACACUGCUAAGCCCAACGGAGUGCAGGAAACCGAAACGAACGCUGAAUGCGGCCGGCACGCAGCCGCAUACAAAACGUGUCAAGAUCCGUGUUAACUUGUGAUCCUGCGUCGCAUGGAACCGUAUUACAUUACAGCUCCUCUCCUCCCGCCUUUGUGCAUAUGAGCUGAUCACAGGCUGAAGCGGCAGGCACUGGGUGGCGUUACCACUGACCUCACGUGCCGCAAACAAACACAACCCGUCAACCCGGGGUCAUAGAAAGAACCUUACCCCCACAUUGGCCAUUUAAUUUCAUCAUGACCCGCAUUGAUGAGCAUUGCGUCCGUCCUCAUAGCAAUCACGCAUAGCUGCGUUGCAGUCACUGGAAGGCGGCAACGUGGCAUUACCCACCUUCUCCAUCCACAACUGAUAUGUACACGCAAACAGUGCUCAUGACCGCUUCCCGAAAGGUCCGAACGAUUCCUAUUGCCUGAGUUGCCCUAUCUAACUAGUCCGUGUCUAGUCCCAAUCUUCCAGCACAAUGCCAUCAUGUUCCCAAUUACGCAAUGCUGCGCAGGGUCUUGGAGCUGCACUUCCAGUUGGCGGCAAUGAUGGCGGACUGCGGGGCACCCAGCUCGCUGGAGCGGCGGCCCAUAGCCGACAGCACGCCCUUCACCGCGGCGGCCACCUUCUUGUAGCUCAGCUUGGAGGCGGUGAGCUGGUGGUGCAGCUCGGUCACGGCGGAGGCCUUGAAGUUGCGCAGCUUGAGCAUAGGCUCCAGGUACGCCCAGUGCACGGCGAUCAUGGUCUGUGGCAAGUAAGCAGUGAUUUGAAGUGUACAAGGGGUCAAGGAAAUGAAGAUGGAUGCUGAGUGAGGGGUAGGUGUGCUGGGGAUGGGGUCCAUCUGUGUGGCGGCGGUGUGCGCACUCACACAGCAGGCAGGAUGGCAGUACCACAGCUAACAGUUCGCCCGACCCAAUUUGUGAGCCCUCUUCGCUCCCAAGCCACCGAGCCUCCCGUCACUCCUUCCGCCCAUCCACCAACCUUGGCAUCCUCCACCUCGGCGGCGGGGCGCUUGCAGGCGGCGGCGGCGUCAGCGGUGUACGCGGCCACGGACACGCCCUGCAGGCCCAGCAGGGUCAGCAGUCGGACCUCGUUCGUGCGCGCGGCGUCGUAGGCUUGGAUGUUCAGGGUAGCUGCAGAUGCGCGGAGAGGCAGCAGCGCAGGAGCGGGACGGUGGUGCGUGGUCAGAUGUUGAGGGCGCGAAGGGUGCUCGGGUACCUAGGUAGGCUCCGCACUCGCCAUCAGCUUUGCUGCGACGUCCCAUCCCGCCCAUCCGUGCAUGGGACCAGCCCUUGCGUACUGUGGCACCACGCGCACCCGCCCGCGUGCGGGUAACACUUCCAAGCAUGUUACUCCUCCCAAGCUAUGCAGCUCUAACUCACACAGGCGGGCGGCGGCCAGCAUCUCAUUGACGGUGUUGAUCAUGGCGGUGUUGACAUAGCUCUUGCCGAGGAAGGUGGUGCCCAUGGCGGCGCCCAGGGAGGAGGCCCAGCCGGACAGGGUGCCGCAGUUGUUGGCGGCGCCGCCGGCCCACAGCGCCCAGGCCUCAUCCACGUUGUGGGGUGCGCCUGGGGCGGGCGGGGACAGUAAGGUGAACGCUUAUGUCAGUUGCACCACGGGGCGCAGGUGAAGUAGCAAAAUACAUAAAUCCCGCGCACUGCUGAGCACCCAUCCACGCACUGCUGAGCGCUUGACAGCGAGCACCGUGCUGCGAUGCCGCAAACAACGCACCCGAGGCGUCAGAAACCAGGUUGGUGAGGUUGCCGGUGCCGUCAGCCAGGUAGGUCUUGAUCUUGUUGUAGGCCUCAUCCACCUCGUGCAGGUGGUACUUGAGCGUGCCCACCUGGAUCAGACCGGCGGCCAGGGUGGCCUUGCCGUCGGCCAGGGCAGCCCUGCGGGGGAUUAGAAGGGUGAGCGAGCGGAGCGGGCAGGGGCGUGAUUGGGGGUUGAGCCAGAUCACGGACGGAGUCAAGGGUUCCGCCAGCAAGCUGCGCAGCUGGGUUUUGAGGCAGAUCUCGGACGGGGUCAGGGGACCCGCAAGCAAAUAGAGGAAAUCUCAUCGAUGCAGGCAGCGAUGUGACAGCGAGCAGGGUGCGUGUUCUCAAUGUACCUCCACUCAUUAUUUUCAUCAUUAUUUUCAGUGGAGCGAGGCUACCCGUCAGCCG
rnacentral:lncRNA from 1 species